GGCCCUCGCCUGGGCCCGCGCUCCGAUCCAGACGCCUCACUGAGCCCGCACGGCUCCCGCCCCUGCCGGCAGGGUGGCCCCGGGCAGCCCCUUCCCCAGCGCGCACUGCAAGGGUGCAGCGUGGGAAACUCGCGCGCUGUUACGUGGCUGCAUGACCAUACACUUCUGGGCAGAGCCCAGUGGAAGACAAGGAAGACUCAAGGAAUAGCCCUUGAGAUCCUGAACCAGCUUCGAAGGCAGAGAAGUGGGCUAGGAGUGGGGCUGGAGCCUCCACCAAGCACAAGGAGGUGAGACUUUAAGGCGUCUAAGGUGAAAAUGGGGCAGCCAUCCCCACGUGUUCCUUCCUCCCUCCCCCUUGCCCGCACUGUACUCACUGGGCCUUAGGUUGGUGCUGUUCAGAGUUUCUUAACCUGGAGUACAUGAACUGCUCCUUCCUAGGUUUCAUACUCCCCCAACAGCCACUCCCCCGAUAAUUGCAAACAAAAUGCUGGCAGAGGGUCAGGCCCCUGGGGGCCACAGGACCUGCCUGGAGUCACUUCUUGU